rnacentral:rRNA from 1 species
GGUAGAUGGAGCUUGCUCUAUGUACCUUAGCAGCGAACGGGUGAGUAACACGUAGAUAAUCUGUCCUAUAUUGGGGGAUAGCCCGAUGAAAGUUGGAUUAAUACCGCAUACAGCUAUAUAGUUGCAUGAUUAUAUAGUGAAAGAUUUAUUGAUAUAGGAGGAGUCUGCGGCACAUUAGCUAGUAGGUGAGGUAAGAGCUUACCUAGGCGACGAUGUGUAGCCGGUCUGAGAGGAUGAACGGCCACAAUGGAACUGAGACACGGUCCAUACUCCUACGGGAGGCAGCAGUGGGGAAUAUUGCACAAUGGGGGAAACCCUGAUGCAGCAACGCCGCGUGAGUGAAGAAGGUUUUCGGAUUGUAAAGCUCUGUUAGCAGGGAAGAGGAAGGACGGUACCUGCAGAGGAAGCCACGGCUAACUACGUGCCAGCAGCCGCGGUAAUACGUAGGUGGCAAGCGUUGUUCGGAAUAACUGGGCGUAAAGGAUGCGUAGGCGGUUAAAUAAGUUAUAUGUUAAAUAUAUAGGCUUAACCUGUAGAAAGCAUAUAAAACUGUUUAACUAGAGUGCAGGAGAGGUAAGUGGAAUUCCUAGUGUAGCGGUGAAAUGCGUAGAGAUUAGGAAGAACACCAGUGGCGAAGGCGACU